AGAAACAUCAAGAACCCACCUCCUUCAACCACCAGCAGCGCCGAAAGCUGGAGGCUCAGUUUGGCAGACCACGCCCCCAGAGAAGAACCUCGGAAAGAGCGGGCGGAGACUCCGCCUACAGGCGAGAACAGUGAGGUCCGGUCUGGGAACAGGCGGUUCAGACAGGAAGCAGCAGGAGCAGCGUGAGCAGUCACUCCUGCAGGCAAACCGGAGCCUUCCGCCGCCGAGAAGAAUAUGCCCCGGGCUCACAACACCCACCCAGCAUUCAUCUUUCUCCCUGUGGUUUACAUUUCCAUGGCUCCGUCCCUGUCAGCCCAAGAGCCCCUCUGGCUGUUCAGAGCCCUUCGUCUUCACAGAAAGUCCCACGGUUGAUUUCCGAGCGAGGGCUCGAGCCCCAGCUGGGGGGCUGGUAGCCUCUGUCGCUGCCCUUGUCCUGACGCCUGUGGCCCGAAUCAGAGCUCUGCAGUUUUCCUGGCGAGUGUGAGGCUGCAGCCGUCUGCUCCGUGCCCUCCACCUGCGAGGUCCCAGCGAAGAGGACAGCACGGGCGUCCCUGAGCACCUUGGCGGUCCAGCUCUAGGUCCCGGGCAAACCUUCGCACCCAGCGCGCCGAGCCAAGACUGCUAUCUGCAGUCUCGGAGACGGCGUGGCACCCAGGGCCCCUCCAUAGGUUGCUGAGAUUUUCUCCUGUUUUCUUCUAAGAAUUUUAUAGCAGACAGCUCCGAAAAUCAAGGACGGAAACCAACACACCGAUUGCCGUGUGGAGGGUGGAAGGGAAGACAUAGAAGCGCUGCGUUUCCACUCACACGCAGCUCGAAACAGUGGGAGCCAGUGGGAGGCGGAGCCUGAGACGCGGGGCGGCGCUGGGGUCCCAGGAGCCCUUUCCACAGCUGGGUGGUGCUCAUCUGACUCCAGAGUUGGAACUGUGCGGGCUGGGGCCGG
ensembl:lncRNA